AACAUUAAUAAUAACCUCUGAAACGCGCCCAAUCUCGUCUGAUCUCAGAAGCUAAGCAGGGUUGGGCCUGGUUAGUACUUGAAUGGGAGACCGCCUGGGAAUACCAGGUGCUGUAGGCU
ensembl:rRNA 5S_rRNA 5S ribosomal RNA